rnacentral:rRNA from 1 species
AAACCCUGACCGAGCAACGCCGCGUGAAGGAAGAAGGUUUUCGGAUUGUAAACUUCUGUUAUAAAGGAAGAACGGCGGCUACAGGAAAUGGUAGCCGAGUGACGGGACUUUAUUAGAAAGCCACGGCUAACUACGUGCCAGCAGCCGCGGUAAUACGUAGGUGGCAAGCGUUAUCCGGAAUUAUUGGGCGUAAAGAGGGAGCAGGCGGCAGCAAGGGUCUGUGGUGAAAGCCUGAAGCUUAACUUCAGUAAGCCAUAGAAACCAGGCAGCUAGAGUGCAGGAGAGGAUCGUGGAAUUCCAUGUGUAGCGGUGAAAUGCGUAGAUAUAUGGAGGAACACCAGUGGCGAAGGCGACGAUCUGGCCUGCAACUGACGCUCAGUCCCGAAAGCGUGGGGAGCAAAUAGGAUUAGAUACCCUAGUAGUCCACGCCGUAAACGAUGAGUACUAAGUGUUGGAUGUCAAAGUUCAGUGCUGCAGUUAACGCAAUAAGUACUCCGCCUGAGUAGUACGUUCGCAAGAAUGAAACUCAAAGGAAUUGACGGGGGCCCGCACAAGCGGUGGAGCAUGUGGUUUAAUUCGAAGCAACGCGAAGAACCUUACCAGGUCUUGACAUACUCAUAAAGGCUCCAGAGAUGGAGAGAUAGCUAUAUGAGAUACAGGUGGUGCAUGGUUGUCGUCAGCUCGUGUCGUGAGAUGUUGGGUUAAGUCCCGCAACGAGCGCAACCCUUAUCGUUAGUUACCAUCAUUAAGUUGGGGACUCUAGCGAGACUGCCAGUGACAAGCUGGAGGAAGGCGGGGAUGACGUCAAAUCAUCAUGCCCCUUAUGACCUGGGCUACACACGUGCUACAAUGGAUGGUGCAGAGGGAAGCGAAGCCGCGAGGUGAAGCAAAACCCAUAAAACCAUUCUCAGUUCGGAUUGUAGUCUGCAACUCGACUACAUGAAGUUGGAAUCGCUAGUAAUCGCGAAUCAGCAUGUCGCGGUGAAUACGUUCUCGGGCCUUGUACACACCGCCCGUCACACCACGAGAGUUGAUAACACCCGAAGCCGGUGGCCUAACCGCAAGGAAGGAGCUGUCUAAGGUGGGAUUGAUGAUUGGGGUGAAGUCGUAACAAGGUAUCCCUACGGGAACGUGGGGAUG